rnacentral:rRNA from 1 species
CCCUUAGACGUUCUGGGCCGCACGCGCGCUACACUGACCAGUGCAACAAGCAUCCGUCCUUGGCCGACAGGCCCGGGCAAUCUUUGAACGCUGGUCGUGAUGGGGAUAGACUUUUGCAAUUUUUGGUCUUCAACGAGGAAUUCCUAGUAAACGCAAGUCAUUAACUUGCAUUGAUUACGUCCCUGCCCUUUGUACACACCGCCCGUCGCACCUACCGAUUGAAUGGUCCGGUGAAGCCUCCGGAUUGGCGCGCACCUCGGUGCCGCCGAGAAGUUGGCUAAACCUUACCAUUUAGAGGAAGGUGAAGUCGUAACA